rnacentral:rRNA from 1 species
GUGCCAGCAGCCGCGGUAAUACGGAGGGUGCAAGCGUUGUCCGGAAUCAUUGGGCGUAAAGGGUACGCAGGCGGAUAUACAAGUCAAAUGUGAAAGGUGUAGGCUUAACCUACAGACUGCGUUUGAAACUGUAUAUCUUGAGAGCAGCAGAGGAAGGCGGAAUUCCUGGUGUAGUGGUGAAAUACGUAGAUAUCAGGAAGAACACCAGUGGCGAAGGCGGUCUUCUGGGCUGCAUCUGACGCUCAUGUACGAAAGCUGGGGCAGCGAACGGGAUUAGAUACCCCGGUAGUCCCAGCUGUAAACGCUGGACACUAGGUGUUGGAGGUUCGAAUCCUUCAGUGCCGGAGUUAACGCAUUAAGUGUCCCGCCUGGGGAAUACGGUCGCAAGACUGAAACUCAAAGGAAUUGACGGGGGCCCGCACAAGCGGUGGAGCAUGUGGUUUAAUUCGAUGCAACGCGCAGAACCUUACC